UGGGGAAUAUUGCACAAUGGGGGAAACCCUGAUGCAGCGACGCCGCGUGAACGAAGAAGGUAUUCGUAUCGUAAAGUUCUGUCCUAUGGGAAGAUAAUGACAGUACCAUAGAAGAAAGCUCCGGCUAAAUACGUGCCAGCAGCCGCGGUAAUACGUAUGGAGCGAGCGUUGUCCGGAAUUAUUGGGCGUAAAGGGUACGCAGGCGGUUUAAUAAGUCGAAUGUUAAAGAUCGGGGCUCAACCCCGCAAAGCAUUGGAAACUGAUAAACUUGAGUAGUGGAGAGGAAAGUGGAAUUCCUAGAGUAGUGGUGAAAUACGUAGAUAUUAGGAGGAAUACCAGUAGCGAAGGCGACUUUCUGGACACAAACUGACGCUGAGGUACGAAAGCGUGGGGAGCAAACAGG
rnacentral:rRNA from 1 species